ACCAGGACAGGGGCUUUACAAUUGACUGCUUGUGUUCCUGCUGUUUUCAAACAGCAGUGGGACCCCCUGAGCAGAUGCUGUUUAUGAGUUCCCCCUAAUACUUCUUGCCUGUUUCCUUUGAGUGGAACCUUUGAAUGGGAAGCUUAUGGAGAAGAAACAAUGUUUUGAACAUGCUCGGCCUCUUUCUUCAGAGGCUCACCAGAACAGGUGGAGCACAGUGAGACUGUACUUGACCCACCCACUCGAUCACCCUGUGAUUUGGAGUCAGAUUUCUGUCAGUAACAUCAGACUCCACAUCACAAAACCAGAGAACACGACUGCACAGAAUCAUUUGAGCCUUGAAAUUUUAUUACCUUGUUUGCAUCAACCAGUUAUUCCUUUCAGCACCAAUAGAAGACAAAAACCCCUCCAUAUUAUUUAAAAUACCUUGUUUUUAUCAGGUCUGAGAUUGUGGUUUUCUUGCAGAUAAAGAAACCAAUGAAAAUACUUAA